UACGGAGGAUCCGAGCGUUAUCCGGAUUUAUUGGGUUUAAAGGGUGCGCAGGCGGGAGAUUAAGUCGGCGGUGAAAUUUUGCAGCUCAACUGUAAAAGUGCCUUCGAUACUGGCUUCCUUGAGUGUGGAUGAAGUAGGCGGAAUUUGUGGUGUAGCGGUGAAAUGCUUAGAUAUCACGAGGAACUCCGAUUGCGCAGGCAGCUUACUAAACUACUACUGACGCUCAGGCACGAAGGCGUGGGGAUCAAACAGGAUUAGAUACCCU
rnacentral:rRNA from 1 species